rnacentral:rRNA from 1 species
CCUACGGGAGGCAGCAGUGGGGAAUAUUGCACAAUGGGGGAAACCCUGAUGCAGCGACGCCGCGUGAGUGAAGAAGUAUUUCGGUAUGUAAAGCUCUAUUAGCAGGGAAGAUAAUGACGGUACCUGACUAAGAAGCCACGGCUAACUACGUGCCAGAAGACGCGGUACUACGUAGGGGGCAAGCGUUAUCCGGAUUUACUGGGUGUAAAGGGUGCGUAGGUGGGAAGGCAAGUCAGAUGUGCAAGCCGGGGGCUCAACCCCGGUACGGCAUUUGAAACUGGGCGGCUGGAGUGCAGGAGAGGUAAGCGGAAUUCCUAGUGUAGCGGGGAAAUGCGUAGAUAUUAGGAGGAACACCAGUGGCGAAGGCGGCUUACUGGACUGUAACUGACGCUGAGGCACGAAAGCGUGGGGAGCGAACAGGAUUAGAUACCCGUGUAGUC